GGAGCAACGCCGCGUGAACGAUGAAGGCCUUCGGGUCGUAAAGUUCUGUUGUUAGGGAAGAACAAGUACCAGAGUAACUGCUGGUACCUUGACGGUACCUAACCAGAAAGCCACGGCUAACUACGUGCCAGCAGCCGCGGUAAUACGUAGGUGGCAAGCGUUGUCCGGAAUUAUUGGGCGUAAAGCGUACGCAGGCGGUUUCUUAAGUCUGAUGUGAAAGCCCACGGCUCAACCGUGGAGGGUCAUUGGAAACUGGGGAACUUGAGUACAGAAGAGGAGAGUGGAAUUCCACGUGUAGCGGUGAAAUGCGUAGAGAUGUGGAGGAACACCAGUGGCGAAGGCGACUCUCUGGUCUGUAACUGACGCUGAGGUACGAAAGCGUGGGGAGCGAACAGGAUUAGAUACCCUGGUAGUCCACGCCGUAAACGAUGAGUGCUAAGUGUUAGAGGGUUUCCGCCCUUUAGUGCUGCAGYAAACGCAUUAAGCACUCCGCCUGGGGAGUACGGUCGCAAGACUGGAAACUCAAAUGAAUU
rnacentral:rRNA from 1 species